rnacentral:rRNA from 1 species
GAUGAACGCUAGCGACAGGCUUAACACAUGCAAGUCGAGGGGCAUCAUGAGGUAGCAAUACCUUGAUGGCGACCGGCGCACGGGUGAGUAACGCGUAUGCAACCUGCCCGAUACCGGGGUAUAGCCCAUGGAAACGUGGAUUAACACCCCAUAGUACUUUUAUCCUGCCUGGGAUGGGAGUUAAAUGUUCAAGGUAUCGGAUGGGCAUGCGUCCUAUUAGUUAGUUGGCGGGGUAACAGCCCACAAAGACGAUGAUAGGUAGGGGUUCUGAGAGGAAGGUCCCCCACAUUGGAACUGAGACACGGUCCAAACUCCUACGGGAGGCAGCAGUGAGGAAUAUUGGUCAAUGGACGUAAGUCUGAACCAGCCAAGUCGCGUGAGGGAAGACUGCCCUAUGGGUUGUAAACCUCUUUUAUAAGGGAAGAAUAAGUUCUACGUGUAGAAUGAUGCCUGUACCUUAUGAAUAAGCAUCGGCUAACUCUGUGCCAGCCGCCGCGGUAA